rnacentral:rRNA from 1 species
UGAGGAAUAUUGGGCAAUGGGGGCGACCCUGACCCAGCCAUGCCGCGUGAGUGAAGAAGGUUUUCGAAUUGUAAAGCUCUUUCGGAUGUGAAGAUAAUGACGGUAGCAUCUAAAGAAGCCCCGGCAAACUUCGUGCCAGCAGCCGCGGUAAUACGAAGGGGGCAAGCGUUGUUCGGAAUUACUGGGCGUAAAGGGAGUGUAGGUGGAUGUGUAAGAUAGCGGUGAAAUGCCGGGGCUCAACCUCGGAAUUGCCAUUAUAACUAUGCGUCUAGAAUUAUAGAGAGGAUAGUGGAAUACCCAGUGUAGAGGUGAAAUUCGUAGAUAUUGGGUAGAACACCGGUGGCGAAGGCGACUAUCUGGCUAUAUAUUGACACUGAGGCUCGAAAGCAUGGGGAUCAAACA